rnacentral:rRNA from 1 species
GACAGAGGGGGCAAGCGUUGCUCGGAAUUACUGGGCGUAAAGGGCGCGUAGGCGGGAUGGCAAGUCGGUCGUGAAAUCCCUCAGCUCAACUGAGGUACGUCGAUCGAUACUGCCGUUCUUGAGGGUUGCAGAGGAGACUGGAAUUCCCGGUGUAGCGGUGAAAUGUGUAGAGAUCGGGAGGAACACCGGUGGCGAAGGCGGGUCUCUGGGCAACUCCUGACGCUCAUGCACGAAAGCGUGGGGAGCAAACAGG